AUAUAACCAGUGUAAUUUUUCUGAAAAAACGGUUGGUUCAAAUUAUUUGAAAUUUUUAUAUUUUUGUCAAAGAGACAAAGUAUAUACUUUGUCAAAAUUUUAUGAAAUUUAAACGAGCCAAAUUAAUUUUAGUGGAAGUGUUGUGUACCACCUUAAAAAUUGGCAACACGAAGCCCACAAAAAACUGAGGCUUAAAUUAUAAGACAGAACACAUCAACCUCUAAGAUAUGACUAUUUCAACUUCAAGGGUGGGGAGGGGUGGGGUUAUUUUUUUUUUGUCCCUAAAAAUAUAUAUUCUAUUACCCAAAUUGAUGAAAAAAAGAUUGUGGUCAAGCAGAUGACACUGAAAAUAUUAUGAUUCCUUAUUUUCCCAAUACCGUACCUUAUGGUGUAAAAUAUUGAACAAAUAAUUUGACUGAUAGUAUAUAUUUAAAUAUAAACAGAACUGUGUUUAUACUUUGUUCAUUAAUACUUAAUUUUCUGACUUGGAGAAAAAAAAAACAUAACCCCCUUUGAAAUGAACAAAAAUAAAGAUAUAUACAAACAAUUUGCACCUGUCCUAAGUCAGGAAUCUGAUGUACAGUAGUUGUCGUUUGUUAUGUAAUUUAUACGUGUUUCUCAUUUUUUUUUUCAUAUAGAUUAGACCGUUGGUUUUCUUGUUUGAAUGGUUUUUAACUAGUAAUUUUGGGGCCCUUUAUAGCUUGUUGUUCGGUGUGAGCCAAGGCUCCUUGUUGAAGGCCGUACAUUGACCUAUAAUGGUUUACUUUUUUUAAAUUGUUAUUUGAAUGGAGAGUUGUCUCACUGGCACACACACCAC
rnacentral:lncRNA from 1 species